UUUCUUAUACUAAACCCUAUUUUAAAAGUAUAAUCAUUGUAAAACAUUUUAGCAUUCUCUAUACAAGUGAACUCUAAACCAACACAUAACUCAUCAACAAGGUAUUUGCUCAUAUUCGAUAUUUCAUCGUUAUUAACCAUUUCUUCGACUUCCUCAUUCAUCUCAUCUCUAACAUCAAGAAAACACAUUGAAACUGAGGAAUCAAUUAUAGAGCUAUGUUCCAUCAUUUAACCGACUCCUAUAAAAAUAACUAAAGUUAAUAUUCUCAACAAAGCACAAACAAUAGAAAAAUAUGUGAAAGCGAUCUACAACAAAUAAAUCUAAUAAGGAUGCAUUCAAUGACGAAAAAAAAUU
rnacentral:lncRNA from 1 species